GCUAACUCUACUUCUAUUUAAGCAAUCUGAGCCUUUAAUAGCUUUAUCGUUGAUUCUUUUUGCUAACAAUUUUUGUCCAAACCUUUUUGAUGAAUAAUUGCUCUAAGGUUACUGUCAAGUUGGCUGAUUCUUGACUAGAGAUUCUGAUAGAGGUUAUUAACUUGACUUGACAAGGCAUCAACUUUUGUUCCAAUGGUUGGACAAAAGAACGGCCACCUCUUGGAUAGGAUCAACAUUAUGGCAGAGAGGGGAAACUCUUCCUCAUAAGUUUCUUAAGAGGAGGAGAACAUCAUACAAGUAGAUACCAGUGGUAAGAUAGGAAGGGGAGAUGGCUUUAGCUCUUUUACUUUCUCGUCUUAAAAUCUCCAAAGCUCUUCCAUAGAUCAACAAGGGAUUUCUUUUUGCAACCCCUUUAUAGAUAUCGAUCCAAGGACCAGAGACUGGUGAAGAGUUCCUUGGAAUAUACCUUUUGCAUGGAGAACGAAAUGGUAUUUCUUGACCCGUGAUUAAAGAUUUCAUCAGUCACUUUGUCGUUUUCACAGUUACAUCCUUUAUCGCACAUAUAGGAUCCUGGAACAUCCUAAAUAAAGUGACCAUUAAUUUUAUCCGUGUAGAUGCGAGUCCCGUUUGUCUUAA
rnacentral:misc_RNA from 1 species